UGGGGAAUUUUGGACAAUGGGCGAAAGCCUGAUCCAGCAAUGCCGCGUGUGUGAAGAAGGCCUUCGGGUUGUAAAGCACUUUUGUCCGGAAAGAAAUCCUUGGCUCUAAUACAGUCGGGGGAUGACGGUACCGGAAGAAUAAGCACCGGCUAACUACGUGCCAGCAGCCGCGGUAAUACGUAGGGUGCAAGCGUUAAUCGGAAUUACUGGGCGUAAAGCGUGCGCAGACGGUUUGCUAAGACCGAUGUGAAAUCCCCGGGCUCAACCUGGGAACUGCAUUGGUGACUGGCAGGCUAGAGUAUGGCAGAGGGGGUAGGUAAUAUCCCACGUGUAGCAGUGAAAAUGCGUAGAGAUGUGGAGGAAUACCGAUGGCGAAGGCAGCCCCCUGGGCAAUACUGACGCUCAUGCACGAAAGCGUGGGGAGCAAACAGGAUUAGAUACCCUGGUAGUCCACGCCCUAAAACGAUGUCAACUAGUUGUUGGGGAUUCAUUUUCCUUAGUAACGUAGCUAACGCGUGAAGUUGACCGCCUGGGGAGUACGGUCGCAAGAUUAAAACUCAAAGGAAUUGACGGGGUCAUAGCUGUUUCCU
rnacentral:rRNA from 1 species